rnacentral:lncRNA from 1 species
CCGACCCGCCCCCGGCCUCUCAUUGGUCAGUGACAGCUCCGCCGACUCCGAUUGGCUGAGCCGCAGCGCACGGGACCGGCUGUUGGCAGCCGGCUCGAGGCCGCCCAGCUCUCCCCUCAGUGCCGCUCCCACAGGCCGGGCGCCCCGCACGGGACCGGCCCCGCAGCCGCUGCGCGCCGGAGCUGUCCGGGCAGCACCGAGACGGAACCGCGGCACCACGGCACAUGGAGGAAAGGAGGCAUGUGGGAAGAGCUGUGGUCCUGCUUGCCCCAGGAGCUGCACGGAAGGAGAAGCAGCUUGGCGCAAAGAAGGCCGAGACGCAAGAGUGAAGAAGUAAGUAACGAGAAGGCAAGUGAAGGGCAGUGAAGGUAAGAGUAGGCUAAGGCAAGGGGGAAGGAGAGGGGCAAGGGAGCCACGGGGGGUAAGGGGAAGAGAGGGGCUGGGAGAAGAGGGGAGGGGGAUGUGUGACUGGGGAGGGGAA